rnacentral:rRNA from 1 species
CCUACGGGUGGCAGCAGUGGGGGAUAUUGCACAAUGGGGGAAACCCUGAUGCAGCGACGCCGCGUGGGCGAAGAAGUAUUUCGGUAUGUAAAGCCCUAUCAGCCGGGAAGAAGAAAUGUCGGUACUUGAGUAAGAAGCACCGGCUAAAUACGUGCCAGCAGUCGCGGUAAAACGUAUGGUGCAAGCGUUAUCCGGAUUUACUGGGUGUAAAGGGAGCGCAGGCGGCACGGCAAGCCUGAUGUGAAAGCCCGCGGCCGAAGCGGGGGACUGCAUUGGGAACUACCGGGCUGGAGUGCCGGAGAGGUAGGCGGAAUUCGUGGUGUAGCGGUGAAAUGCGUAGAUAUUAGGAAGAACACCGGUGGCGAAGGCAGCCUACUGGACGGUGACUGACGCUGAGGCUCGAAAGCGUGGGGAGCAAACAGGAUUAGAUACCCCAGUAGUC